GGGUCAGAGGCUAACUCAGCUUAGAUUUUUGAGGAACCGCCAGACUGCUUUCCAAAGUGGCUACACCAUUUCACAUUCCCAUUGGCAGUGUAUGUGGGUUCCAGUUUCUCCACAUCCUCCCCAGCGCUUGUCAAAUGUCUUUUUGAUUCUAACCAUCCCACUGGGUGUGGACUGGUGCAGCUCUGUGGUUUUGACUUGUCUUUCUCUAAUAGCUAAUGAUGUGCAACAUCUUACUGCCUAUUUGUAUAUCUUCUCUGGAAAAAUGUUUACUCAGAUCCUUGCCUUUUUUGUGGGGAGGGUGGUCAUUUGUCUCAACUAAAGAGGACUUGCAUCUAGAAUUCAUAAAGCAUUCUUUUUUUUUUUUAAAGAGACAGUGUCUCACUCUGUUGUUGCCCAAGGUGGAACACAGUGGCCAUUCACACGUGUGAUCAUAGCUCACUGCAGCCUCAGAUGCCUGGCCUCAAGCGAUCCUCCCACCUCAGCCCCCUGAGUAGCUAGGACCAUCGGCAUGAGCCACCACGCUUGACUGUUCAUAAAGAAUUCUUUUUUUUUUUUUUUUUAAGAAUUCUUUAGGUAUUCUAGAUACAAGUCCCUUAUGAGAUAUAUUAUUUGUAAAUAUUUUAUCCCAUUUUGUGGACUGUCUUUUUACUUUCUUGAUGGUGUCCUUUGUAGUAUAAAAGUGUCUAAUGAUGUUCAAUGUAUGUACUUUUGUUGCUUGUUUUUUUUGGUGUCAUGUGGAAGAAACCAUUGCCCAAUCCAGGGUUAAGAAGGUUUCUGCCUAGGUUUUCUGCUAAGAGUUUCAUAUUUUAGCUCUUGUAUUUAUGGUGUGAGGUAGGUCUAACUUCAUUCUUUCUUUUGGUGUGUGUGGAUAUCCAGUUGUCCAAGCACCAUUUGUUGAAAAUACUUUUCAUUCUCCAUUGAAUUAUCUUUGGCACCAUAGUUGGAAAAAAAAAAUUAAUUGACCGUAAAUGUGAGGGUUUAUUUCUGGACUCUGAAUUCUUUGCACUCGAUCUAUAUUUCUGUCUUUUGUUUUCUUUUUAAAACUCAUUAAAGAGGAUAUUUACAAAAGUAUGCAUUCAUGAGCCACUGCUUUAAAACUUGUUUAUGGUUUCCUGUAUUUUAUUUCAACCCAUUUUCCAUAAUUACCUCAUUUUGUCUGUCAUGCUGUCUGGAAGGGAGUGCCAGUGGUGAAGUGUGAUGUUAAUGUCCUCAGGAUGGUGAUGUUCCCAUUUUUCAAAGAUUGCUUUGAACACAGAUAGGAAGUAUCUUCUGUUGGCAGUGAUGACAUAAAAUGUUGAAAAUGAAAUAUGGAAGCUUGUGAGUCAAAGAUUUCCUUACCUUAUUUGCAUUUGAAAUGCAGUACCACAAAAAUAUGUUGAAUUAAUGGUUAUAACUUUUUAUUUAAUAAAGUAGACAUUUUAGUACCAUCAAAAAGUAUUCUUUAUGAUUACAUAUCUCUUUAUAGAGUUCCUGAGUUGGAGGUAGAAGAAGAAACCCAAGUUCAAGAGAUGACUUUAGAUGAGUGGAAAAAUCUUCAAGAACAGACCAGACCAAAGCCUGAGUUUAACAUCCGGAAACCAGAAUCCACUGUUCCUUCCAAAGCUGUGGUGAUUCACAAGUCAAAAUACAGAGAUGAUAUGGUAAAAGAUGACUAUGAGGAUGAUUCCCAUGUUUUCCGGAAACCCGCCAAUGACAUCACAUCCCAGCUGGAGAUUAAUUUUGGAAACCUCCCUCGUCCUGGGCGUGGAGCCAGAGGAGGCACCCGGGGAGGCCGGGGAAGGAUCAGGAGGGCAGAGAACUAUGGACCCAGAGCAGAAGUGGUGAUGCAAGAUGUUGCCCCCAACCCGGAUGACCCGGAAGACUUCCCUGCUCUAUCUUGAAAGAGCCCUGUUUCCUAGCACCGCGGAGCUGCACUGCACACCUGUGGGGAGACUUUUCCGGCUGGGCCAAGAGUCAGACUCUAAGAACAAUAGAUAUUGCUUUUCCCGUGUCGUGUAAAUUUGUUGCAGUUUUUCGGGCUGGGCUGUUAGAGGGGCUUCUCCAGAGGCUCGAGAGCAGGCCGUUUCCCAAGAAGGUGAAGAAUGGUGACUGUGUUUUUAUUGAAGGAAUUUCAAAUGAAGAACAGGAAUAAUGUUUAAAAUGUGUACAUAGAGAUAGUAUAGACUCCUCCACGGAAGCAUGGAGGGAAAGGAGGUUGUAAAAUAGACUCCAUGGAGACUCUUAGGAAGCAGUAGAUUCCCGGAGGCUGUGCCUUUAGCAUUAGAGGAAACACAUAGAGCUGGAACUGUUAAUGGAAAGCAGUCACAGCUGAGUUUUCAGAGACCAAGAAAUUAAAAUACAAUUGCACUUACUGUUUACUUGUAAAUGUUAUCUACUCUCCUGGAAUAUUUUGAGUUCUGGUUUUCACUUAAUCAGUCAUUUAAAAAUCGCUAUUGUGUAGCCACUGGCCACCACUCUGUGACACAGAAUCAGAGAAAGCGUUGAUUUUUAAUGGUGAUUUAAACUACCUCGUGGUUUCUGUGUGUGUGCACACACACAUCUAGUGUUUGGGUGAUUUUUAGGAAGAAUAUUAAGUAUAUGACUUCAAAACCCAUGUUAUUUAACCUGCCAAUCAAAUGGAAAGGGAUCAUGGCAAAAGCGAAUACCGCAUCCUUUUCUUCCACAGAACUAGAGUCAAGAGUUUGGCAGCUGUGUACAAAGGCCUCUGCCCUCGGCUCAGGCAAAAGUUGUAAAUAACUAGUAUUUAUUAAGCACUUAUAAGCAGUUUUUCUCACUUAGUCCUGGCUCCAGUUCUGGAGUUCCUCUUUAUUGCUUUUGGUGAAAGUUUGGGUUGGGGGUACACCUCAGAGGUUCAGUAAUUCACCUGGAGUCCCACCCUGAACAGAGCUGGACCCAGAGCCACACACGCCUGGGAACACACACUGUGCUGGGGAGGAAGUGGGCCUAGGAGGGCCUGCAGGUCCAGGCAGCUGUAGAGCUGCUAGAAGCUGGGGUGUUGCUCUCCCCGUUUUCUCAUAGACACAGAGGUACUGUCUGCCUGUUGUCACACAGUUCAUAUGCUCACUUGAGAUGGAAUCUGAACCUUGGUCCCAGGAUCUGUGCUUUUCCCACUUUGCCACACUGUCUAAGGUGGCUUUGAACUGGAACCCAAGUGCAAAUAAAGGUUGGUAUUCGCUCCUGA
rnacentral:sRNA from 1 species